UACGUAGGCAGCGAGCGUUGUUCGGAAUUACUGGGCGUAAAGAGUGUGUAGGCGGUUCUUCCAGUCUGUUGUGAAAUCUCCCGGCUUAACUGGGAGGGUGCAGCGGAAACUAGAGUGCUAGAGUGUGGGAGAGGUAAGCGGAAUUCCUGGUGUAGCGGUGAAAUGCGUAGAUAUCAGGAGGAACACCUGUGGUGUAGACAGCUUACUGGGCCGCUUCUGACGCUGAGACACGAAAGCGUGGGUAGCAAACAGG
rnacentral:rRNA from 1 species